ensembl:lincRNA Gm29185 predicted gene 29185
UGGUUUUACAGGCUGAUGUUCGCCAUGAUGGAUGAGGGCUCCUCCAAGAACCUGCUAACAGCUCCGAGCACCUCCUCUGAGAGGACAUUUGAAAGCUGCUAUCAUGCCUCAGAGGUGUGAGAGACCAGUGAAACCUCCAUUCUCUGGGAUCCUUCUUGCACCUGGAAUACAUAGCAACUAUGGAAUCGGCUUUUUGAACGUGUAAAAGGAUUCAUCUGGAACAGGAGUGGGCCAACUAUACUGUCAGACAGAACUCAGUGACUGUUUCAACAUGGAAAAUUCCAGUGGAGAACAGAUAAUACCCAUCCAUUGUGUGAUGUCUAUACAGCAUUCCCGCUUCAACAGCACAAUGGAGAAGUUUUAUCAGCAAGCACCUGGCCUUCGAGAUUCGAAGCAUUUACAGAAAAUAGUCUGACAACCCAGAAAGUGAGUUCCCAAUGUUCUAAGAUAUCCAUUGUAUGUAAUUAAGUUCAUACCUCUAGAAUUAUAUGACCCCUAAUAAAAUUAGAAAAUAAC